rnacentral:ncRNA from 1 species
UGACCCCUAAAAAGAUCUAAAAGCACAAAGAUUUGGUCCUGGCCUUUCUAUCAGUUCUUCCUAAACUUACACAUGCAAGUCUCAGCAUACCCGUGAGGACGCCCUUUUAACUUUACCAGAAAAAGGAGCUGGUAUCAGGCACAAACUUGCCCACCACGCCUAGUCCCACCACGCCCCCAAGGGUCUCCAGCAGUGAUAAAGAUUGUUAAUAAGCGAUAGCUUGAUUCAGUUAUGGGAAAGAGAGCUGGCCAAGUCGGUGCCAGCCGCCGCGGCUAAACCGUAAGCUCAAAUUGAUAGAUAUCGGCGUUAAGCGUGGUUAGAGACUAAAAAAAUUAGAAUAAAAGCUGUAUCCUAGCUGUUAUAAGCCCUACUAUAAGAGAAAACCAAAACGAAAGUUAUUCUAAUCCGCUUGAACCCACGACAGUCAGGAUACAAACUGGGAUCUGAUACCCCACUAUGCCUCACCGUAAAAUAUUAACUCACAUCACAAACGCCAGGGUAUUACGAGCAAAGCUUAAAACCCAAAGGACUUGACGGUGUCCUAUCCAACUAGAGGAGCCUGUUUUAUAAUCGAUGAUCCCCGAUCUACCUAACCCUAUCUUGCCACUCAGUUUGUAUACCUCCGUCGCAAGCUUACCAUAUGAAUGCUAACAGUAAGCACAAUGGUCUUUCACCAAUACGUCAGGUCAAGGUGCAGCCCAUGAUAGGGUAAAUUAUGGGCUACAAUUUCUAAUAUAGAACAUACGGAAUGCUGCAUGAAACACAGUAUGAAGGCGGAUUUAGUAGUAAAAAGAAAGUAUUGUGUUCUUUUUAAUAAGGCUCUAGGACGUGUACACACCGCCCGUCACCCUCUUCAACAGUACUAGAGACGUUUUUAACACCUCUGCACGCCUUAGAGGAGGCAAGUCGUAACAUGGUAAGUGUACCGGAAGGUGCACUUGGAACAACAAAACAUAGCUUAAAUAAAGUCUCUUGCUUACACCAAGACAACAUUCGUUCAAACCGAAUUGUUUUGAGCCUAAAAUGCAGCCUAUCUUUUAAUCUUAUGCGUACCAUAACUAACCCUUUUCUGAUAAAACAUUUUACUGGUUCAGUACAGGUGAUCAAAAAACUUAUUAGCGCUUCAUCAUAAGUACCGCAAGGGAAGAAUGAAAUAGCUAUGAAACAGGCCUAAAGCACAACACAGCAGAGCUUACCUCUUGUACCUUUUGCAUCAUGGUUUAGCCAGUCCUCAUCAAGCAAAGUGAAACCACAGCUUGCCCCCCCGAAACUAGACGAGCUACUUUAAAACAGCUUCAUAGAGCCAACCCGUCUCUGUUGCAAAAGAGUGGGACGAUUUUAAAGUAGAAGUGAAAAGCCUACCGAGUCUAGAGAUAGCUGGUUACUUAAAAAAAGAAUCUUAGUUCAACUUCAAGCCCCCAUAUUACAACAACAAAAAGUCUGGGCUUGAAAGCCAGUCAAAUAAGGCACAGCUUAUUUGACAAAGGAUACAGCCUAAAAAAAAGGGUAAAACCCAAAUAUAUAGACUAAGUGGGCCUAACAGCAGCCACCUUCCAAAUAGCGUUAAAGCUUCCUCUUGAUUACUUCUUAAUUUCGACAAAUACCUUAAACCCUUUAUCAUUAUUAAGUAAUUUUAUAAAAAUAUAAAAGUCUUCAUGCUAGAACUAGUAACAAGAAAUUGAAUUUCUCCUAAAUAUAAGCAUAAACCAAAAUGGACUAACCGUUGGUAAUUAACGUUUAUUAGCCUAUUAUAACAACACCUCAAGAAAAUACUAUAAUUGUACACGUUAACCUUACACAAGCAUAUUCUAGGAAAGAUUAAAAGAAUGGGAAGGAACUCGGCAAACUUUAACCCCGCCUGUUUACCAAAAACAUCGCCUCUUGAUUAAAUAUAAGAGGUCCAGCCUGCCCAGUGAAUUACUUAAACGGCCGCGGAACCAUAACCGUGCAAAGGUAGCAUAAUCAUUUGUCCUUUAAAUAGGGACUCGUAUCAACGGCACCACGAGGGUUAUACUGUCUCCCCCCUCUAAUCAGUGAAACUGACCUCCCCGUGAAGAGGCGGGGAUUGUUAUACUAGACGAGAAGACCCCAUGGAGCUUUAAACCCAAUAAUAUUCUCAUCAAUGGCACUUCAUCAAAGUUAUAAAAGUUUUAUCUAUUGGUUUUAGGUUGGGGUGACCACGGAGUAAAACAAACCCUCCUUGACGAACAGGCCUUAGCCUAAUCCAAGAGUCACUACUCUAAGAAUCAAGAAUUUGACGUAAAAUGAUCCGCAAGCCGAUCAACGAACCAAGUUACCCUGGGGAUAACAGCGCAAUCCAUUUCGAGAGCCCUUAUCGACAAAUGGGUUUACGACCUCGAUGUUGGAUCAGGGUAUCCCAGUGGUGCAGCAGCUACUAAAGGUUUGUUUGUUCAACAAUUAAAAC